UAAACCGUCACUUCCGCCCGGAAGUGCGUGUGCGAGGCGGCUUUUCCCGGGGAUUGGGAAGACCCCGGCAACGUGCUCGCUCUUGUCUGGGAGGCGCACUCUUGUCCGAGAGAUGCACUCUCGUCGCCGAGGUGUGGCGGGUCCCCGGCCCGCAGGGUGACGCUGGGCCGCAGCUGGGCCGUCAUGAAGCUCCGCGGGCCCGAACUUCAAGGACCGCUCCUCGCACUGCAGCUGGGGCUUGGACGGAGGAGACCGAACGCAGACACCACAGUCGGGGGUUUCCACCGAACCGGAGAGCUCUCCAGCCCCCGGCGAUUGGAUGAAGCCUUGCAACCUUGGUUUUCGCCUCCUCGUCGGUGACGGUAUUCGGAGUGACAUCAGUUUGGGGGAUCCAGGGAGCAACAGCCCAGCUGGGGUGACGUCAGUAAGUGCCUGGACAACAGAAGGGAGCCAUCCUAGCUGAGAAGACAUGUGACAAAAGGCCAGACACAUGAGAGGAGGCUUCAGAGGAGGUGGGGACCUCAAGGCUUGGGACCAAACUGGAGACCACCACGGCGACAGGUGAGUUUCCUGGAAGAUUUGUGUAUGCUGCACGACGACGGUGACUCCUGACGGGUGGCACUUGUGAGGGUUCGGUAAAGCUCGUAGGAGCACAGUGGACCAGUUAGCUGUGCCUUUGUGAGUGUUAGUUACCCUUUUCCCUCGGAUUUUCAGUGCAUUUUCACAGCAUAUCCAGCUGGGAACCUCUAGGGGUCUGCGGCGUCUGAAAGUUCUGGGGUCUUUACAGAUGCUGCUUCCAACAAGAAGAGGCCUGCCUGCCUCAGGGUGAGCGAAACAGCCCCAGCGCCGAGGCAGGGGUCUGCUCCAGGCUCUUGACUUUUUAGCGUUUUAGUUUUCCUGUUGGGGCCACUCACAAGGGCAUACAGUUCACAGGACGGUGACCUGCACUCCCCCGUGUGUGCUUGUCUUUAGAGGGAGAGGCUGCAGUAAUUGCCUAAAUGAACCCGUUGUACUGAGAUGGGGUGUGUCGGGGAAAGCGUACAUGUGGGUAUUUCUGGAAUAAAGAGCUUUUGUGCCCGGGCGCUGCCUUGUUCUUCUACGUGGUGUUUCUCUGGAGUGCGGGUGUCGGCUUCCUCGCUGUGGCCGUGGGCGGGUCCUUGUCUGUCUGUCUCCAUGUCAGUCUGGUCAAGCAGCCCCGGGGCUCCGUGUCUGCGGACUGUCCUCCAGGAGUUGAUCCAGCCUUUGGUUUGCUGAGUUAAUGGGAAGCAUUAGCCGUGGGUCCCUCUGGGCAGUAGCGUGUCAUUUGUAGCAUGGAAGAUGUUAGCGAAUGAAGUUCACGUUGACGGAGCCGUUGUGAUUUUUGAGGAUGUUUUUGGACUCUGACAGCGAACAAGGACCAUGCCUUCGUGUCCCCUGGGAGUCCCCUUGGGUUGGUCUGGGACUUCCUAGGACAGAAGAGCCUGCCAGGAGCAGGGAAGGGGAUGCUGAGAAGAGAGUGGUUGUUCCCGGGCAGAGAGGCUUCGUCUUCCCCGGAAGCCCACGCAUCCCCGGGUUACCUGCUUCUCUUUGCGUCCUGUCCUGCUUCCUGCUGCUGGGUCUGAACAUUGACUGUCCGGCCCUUGUCUGUGACUGCAGCACAGGGCGUGAGUGUUCUUGGUUUCACACAGUGGGUGUGCCGGGUGCCUGAGUGGGUGAUGAACGGAGCCCUCAAACCCAUGGGAGGAGACACGUGAGAACAUUUCAUGGAGCCAGUGGAUUCCUGGGUGUGGCUCCUGGAAUGUUUCCCAGCGACUCUGGCUCCUGCGGCUCCAGCCCCCUCAUCGAGUCGACCCCAGCUGGUCACAGCGUGGUGAUGGCAUGCUUGUUUUCCCCAGAGUGCGUGGUAGGCUGUGUGCACCGGGGAUGGGCCUCAGCGCUUACGACGUUCCUCUGGAUUGUGUAAGAGAGGGUUGAAGCAGGCAGGAGUCCAGACUUUCAAAAAGAUGGUGUUUUGAUAGUAGCAGUGGAUAAUCAAGCGUGUGAACUCUUAAGAAGUUGUUUUUAACGGCCCAAAGCAGAAAACUUAAAAAUUGAGCCAAAGGACAGUUGCCAGGUCAAGAUUUUGAACUUCUUUCUUUGUCCACUAGGGGGUGGAAUCCUACACCAGACUGCUGUAUUCUCUUGUAACUUGGUACAGAGUUUUCUGGGUUUGGGGGUUUUUGUUUCUUUGUUUUGUUUUGUUUUAAUUUAGCCAAGCUCUUAUUUCACCAGAAAAUUAUGCAGAAAGUUAAUCUGCAGGGUUGUGCUCUUAGGAAUCUGCUAGGGUGUCCCAGCUGCAGGCAGUUUCUGGGACAUGCUUAUCAUGUCUUGGACCAGUUGAACCAAACUCGGUCAUAGGACACGGCUGGCACUUGGAGACCAGAGCACAUUCUAAUGCAGCUUUCUGUCCAGAGUCACUCCCAGUGACAACAGGUGGUUCUACUCAGCAUGAAAGGUUUUCUUUGAUGAGAAAUCCAGUGCAACACAUACUAGUGUUUGAGGUCUCAGACGGUGUAUUAAGGGUUUAAAAGCAUCUCUGACCAGAACGUUGCUCAUACUUGAAAUUAAAAGGGACAGAUUAAGACUGAAAGACGUUUGUACAAAACCAGUGUGUUUCAGAUUGUUGAUUACUAUCUGCUAGAAAAGUGCCCUUGAUUUGGCGGGGGAGAAGGAAUCACAACUCUGGAGGUGUGAUUUUAAGUAGAGUAUUGCACAUUUGGUUUAUGAACCUGGUUGACAGCUUUCUGAUGGAUUAAACAGAUGUUGGCCAAGUGAGGCCAAGACAGGGAGCAAAGCAGAGGCAUCUUGUCCUCAGGGAGCUAACGUUCCAGUGCCCGGGAGACAGAAAUCAUUAGAGUUGUGGGAUAUCACAAUUGUGCUGGGGAAAAAAAAGGGAACUGGGGUAGGAAGGAGUGGGGUAUGAGGUUUGCAAUUUUAGUUAGGGUGGCUGGGAAGGGCCUGGAUCUUUAAUUUAGCAAAAUCCUGAAAUAGGGAGUAAGUCAUGUGACACCCUGGAACAGCAUCCCAAGCAGAGGGAACAGCCAGUGAAAAGGCAGCAGAAGCAGCCAGAAUAAUAGACCAUGAGCAAGAACGGCUUAUGAGGAGGACUGAAGCGGCCUGGGGAUCAGGUCUUGCAGAAUCUUGUAGGGAAUUGUGGGACUUUGGCUUUUACUCAGAGUAGUGGACCAUUUUCCCCCCCUAAUAAAGUAGUUAACGUUAGAAGUAUUUCCUGUUCUUGUGCUAAGAAAUUUGCACAUUGAGCUGACCCCAGCUCUGUGCAUUGGGAGCAUUACUUUUCCCCUUGGCAGCUGGUGGCAUCUCUCACUCUUGGCUCUGUUGAACUGUAACUUCCAUGUCCUGAGAUGAGUGACACGGCAAAUGUUUAGAUAUGACAAGUAAAGUUCUGGGACAAAUGACCCUCUUCACACAUGAAGGCCCUGUGCCCUUCACCUCGUAGACGAAGCCAGAGGUUGCUCGAAUGUCUGCCUGUCUCAGCGGCAAGGAUGGGUCCCUGUCCGCCUGUGCUCACCUCCACCGUAGGACUCCUCCUGUUUUAUGAUUGUUUUCUUGUCUGUUUCCCCCUGGGAGGAACUGUGUACUUGUCUUUUCAACAGAGUAGAUAAUGUGUCAUUUAAAUCGUUACAUUACCAUCAGGAGGACUACACGAAGUACAUUCCCCUGUAAUCUUGACAAUGUACAGGCCUGUUGGGGUUGGAAACACAUAACAAAUGCAUUGAAAACAAUUAGUCAUUCUGAUGUUUUUUUUUUCACAUCAGUUUUGUGGCUCCAGCAGAAAACUAGGUCUUUGUUGCAAAUUUAAUUCAAGUGGAGCUAAGUCAGGGGGAGCUCGCGUGUCUCCAGUCUGUCAGCCGUGCAGUUGUGUGCCAGUUACACAACACAACGCUGCUUUAGAAGGGCAGCCGCCGUCAGCAGGACGUUUGGAUUACUGUAUGGAGUCCAUGUAAGACUCCUGUUUGCUGCCAUCCCUGCCGAGUCGAUUUCUUCCUAUCAAACGCCCAGCAUUUGUGCCCAUUUGUAAACUUUGACGGGUUGUCAUCUGUUAGGAUGAGUUACCGUGAUGAGUCUCUGGGAAAGCUCCCAUAAAUCCCCUUCGCUUGUGGGCCACCUUUGUUUCAAAUUACUUGCAAAUUAAUUGCCCCUUGGAAAGUUAAUGGGGGGAGAUAAAAAGAGGAGAUUAAGAAGUCAAAAUGACAAAGGUCUCGCUUCCUCUGGUCACGUUAGAUACGUGUAAACCCUGCUUGGUGUUUUUGUUCUUAGUUUUUUUUCCCUAAAGUAAUAGUGCAUUCAUUUUAAAAGUUGAUGGGAUGGGGAGGGUAUAGCUCAGUGGUAGAGCACUUACUUAGCAUGCACGAGGUCCCGGGUUUAAUCCUCAGUACCUCCAUUAUAAAAAACCUAAUUACCUUCCCCCCAAAUAAAAAAAAAUUUUUUUAAGUUGAUAGGACUCAAAGGCUGGCACUAAACAGCAGUUCCCCGCUUCCCACAGCCCUCCCCACAGGCAGGGUUUUGCACUGGUUCACUCCUCCCCCUGUUUCUGAAAAGCCCGUGUGUGUGCUGAUCUCUGGACUCCCCACCACCCCCUCUAGUCCUUGCCUGUUGCCUGCCUUCCCGGUGGAUCCGGGCUGAGUGCUCACAACCUGCCCCCUGCUUCCAUCCUCUGCUGCAGUCACCCUGUAUCUUUUCUGUUUCCAUCAUUGAGAGGCGACCCUGUUGCGAAUGUGCGGAAGGGCUCUGCGUGGCCUUUUUACUUUCUCCCCUCAUUGACAUUUCGCGUCUUUGGCUGCGCUUUGUUUGAACCUCUUGCCAAUAAUUCUUCCCACGUUUAUGGUAGCCUCUCAGCAUAACUUGACACGAGGUCAACCCCAUUAAUAAUCUAUCCAUUCUAUUUUUGUAGGUGAAUAGAAGACUUUCCAGAGAAUUUCAUGAUGGAUAUAUGUUACAAAGUUUUGUUGCAAUCUUGUACACAAGGGGAGAGGCCCCUGAGGGCCAAUUUAGUUCAUUUUUAGGUAGGGAUUUUUUUAAAAUACCAUUUUUAGGCUAAAUACGAAAAGAAACACUGGCUAAAGGCUCUGACAGUCAGCUGGGUGGAUAGGUAACCAGUUUCCCAGAUUACUCUUUAUUAAUUUUAUCAGGGAUGCCAAUCUCUUCCCAGAAGGAGGAUAUGAAUUAUAUCAGGCUAAGAGCCUCUGUUCCAAGCCUGAUUUAGGCCAGUUGUUUGGCUUUUUUGUUUUGUUUUGUUCUUUUUAGAGUCCCUCUUUUUGGCAGGGACAUCCUACCUGUUUAAGUUAAAUACCUGACUUGGUCAAGAAGGCCCAUCCAGUUGCACUUUUGUUCUAGGAACAAAGAUGAGAGUGUUGCCUGGGUCAGCGCUUCCCAAACAAUGCGGGCCAGUCCCCUGCGGGUUUGUCAGAUGAGAUUCUGGGGCCGCAGGUCUGGGGCGGGCCUGGACCCCUGCCUUUCUCUCCAGCGCCCAGGUGCUGCUGGUCUGGGCACCACACCUUGAGGAGGGAGGGAGGGCAUUGUUAGUCGCUGUGUACAUUUCUCACGGAUGGCGGGGUGAAGUGGAGGCUUACCUUGUACCACACACGCACAGUUGAUUCCUCGCGGUAUUUAUACUCACUGACCUUAUUCCUUUGGGCCAGCAUCUGUAUCGGGGAAGGCUCUCUCAGCAUCACCCCUAGGGGCAACGAUUCUUGUAGUCUGUGCACCUGGGCCUCUGCGGCGGAAUGGUAGCCGGGUCCCUGGAGGCCUUCCUACUUCAGUGGGUGCAGCAGAAGACAGCGAUAAACACUCAAGGACGCCCUUGCUCUUUGCUUUAAAACUCUGUAGUCACGUGUUGAGGAAACAGAAUUAAAAACAAAAUCUCCCAACUGUCAAAAACCUGAGCUAGACAGUAGUUAAAGUGGUAAAAAGCCAAUUUUGUUCAGGAUUCUUGCAGUAGUGUGGGGGAGCAAAACUUGCCAACCGAAAAAGCGUCUCUUCGACAUGCGUGUUACUUCCAGCUGGAAACAAUCAAGGCCCAAGAUCUGACAGAGCCUUUGACCUUCCCUCUAACAGCCUGAAGCAUGUGGGCGGAGGACCUGUUGCGGGAAGGGAGCAUCACUGUAGAUCACUAGUGUGUGAACCAGGGGUGGAGACAGGGAGGACCCUGCAAAGUCUGUUGAAGUUCCUCGCUGUGUUCUCUGUCUCCGCAGGGCCCAACCAGCAUUUGCUUUACCAUCUCCAAGCCAGUUGCCUUCCUCUCCUUUAGGGUCCCAGGCUGCCACCCCACCCCUUUUGUCUUCAGCCGAAGAUGGUGUUUAAGGUGAGGGUUUCGGCUGUUCCGACGAGUUGCUCGGUUUCCCUGGGUCUCUGCGGUGCACAGAGGUACUGAAAGUUUUGUUGGAUUCUUCUCGUGUUCAUCUGUCUCGUGUCGGUUCUUCUGACUGGUCUAAGAAUUAAACUUAGAAGGGUAGAGGAAAAUUCCUUCCUCCUCGGCAGAGGAAGGGAGACCACAGUAAACACACGGCUGGGUUCAGUUCUGAGUACAGCGUGGGCACGCGGGAAUUCAGAGCCAGAGAGCAGGGUAGGGUUGGUGGAUGGAAAAUAACUCAGAGGAAACAUCAGGGGGACCGGGAGGGGGUUCUGGCUGCACUGACCUAACGGGAUUCUUGCUGAAGGCAGGGCAGGGGGCUCAGACUUCACCUGGGAUGGUGAAGGACAAGAAACCUAAUUAGACAUGGAGGGAGGUGAGUGGUUCUGGCUAAACUGACUCAGCAGAACCAGAUUUUACAGGGAAGUGCGCAGACGGGCCUCAGAGAAGGUCCAGGAGCCUGAGUAACGUGUGACCAAGCAAAGAAGCUUUGUCACAACCCAGAAAACAUCCCCACAAAGGUAGAAGAGAAGGAAAACAGUGCUGCUAUUGACUAGGCAUUCCUCCAGCACGUCAGGAGCGCCACAGGCCGCUGCCGACGGAAUUGCAAAGACAGAGAGCGGUCUUGCCCUUUGAAAGAGCUAAGUGGCCGCAACCCUUCAUUUCAAGGACAUGGCUCUCUGGCCCUUGGACAAACGUUCCAGAGUCGUGGGAUUGCAAGAGACUUGUUCAGCCACGACAAAGAUCUACAGACAUUUGAGGACGAGGAAAUUCUGGAAGAAAAGGGAGUCAGGGUCAGGGGGUUCUCCUUGAUUUUCAACAGGGAGGACUACGCCUCUGAUUGUUCAUUUGCACCUGCCCUCGUCCACACUGGCUGAUUCCUGAAGCUAAAGUGUUAAGAGCAGCCUGCAGCGUUGAAGAAAGUGCGUAGAGUGCCUGCUUAGCAUGCACAAGGUUCUGGGUUCUAUACCUACUACCUCCAUUAAAAGUAAAUAAAUCUAAUUACCUCCCCCAAAAAAAGUAAGGGAAGGGGGAAGGGAGGGGAGGGAGGACAUUAGGGGGAAACAAAGGGCUUUUAGGAAAGAUAAAUGGGCCUUUAGAAGAAUAGAGGAGAGUUCUGGCAGUUUUAUGUCUGUCUGGGGGAUUCUGAUCUGCGCGUGGGUGUCUCCAGGGAUAGGGGUCUGCCUGCACAGGUCUGCAUCCCAGCCUGGGGAGGGGAUUUGUGACAGUUGAAUUCUCUUGGGAAGUUCUGCUUUUAGGCAUAUAAGGUGGGGCAGGGGGUCAGAAAAGAAAACAACAACAAAAUUUUCUGGAUCCCCUCAACCUGCCUUUUUUUUUAAUGAGUAGGUUCUUUUGUGGGUGGGGCGUAAUUGGGUUUCUUUAUUCAUUUAUUUAAUGGAGGUACUGGGAAUUGAACCCAGGACCUCAUGCAUGCUCGGCAUGCCCUCUGCCACUGAGCUGUACCCUCCUCCCAACCUGCAUUUUUUUUCUUUUCUAAUUUUGGUACAAAUCAAGGAACUCACCGUCUCCUUCCUUCCUGCCAAGUAAGAGGAAACUGAGAUGACGCAGACUGGCUCUAGGGGCAGGCGGGCUCAGGCUCCAGCCUGGCUCCUGAGCGUCCCCCUGCCCUGCCCCCAUCUCUCCAGCCGCUGACCCCCUCUCCCCACCAUGAAUCCUCGUGUGGUGACAGAGUUCCCCUCUGCACACCGGCAGUGGCUGUGUGUCACCUCCAGGAGCUCAUUCAUUCCCCCAGGCGUGUAAUUUCCGUCAGGGAGUUGCUUCCUUGAGAAAAUAGCUGCUCCACGUGGAGUUUCAGUGACUUCAAGACCCUGGGUCAGGGGCGAAGAGUCUCACUCAUCCAGCCGUGGCGCUGCGGACCCACAGGGAAGGGGCAGAGAGCGCUAAACCUAAAAGCUGCCACCUAAGGCCCGCUUAACCUGCACCUGGCGCUGGGCUCCAGGCUUCGCCUGCGUCUCCUCGGCUCCUCCAAACAGGUUUCUGAAGCCAGGCGGCUCUUUUCUUCGCUUUGUCGAGAGAGGGCCUGGGACACAGGGACUGUCACUGCCAGGGCCCCAUGGCCAGUGAGCGCUGGGGCUGGAACAUGGGCCCUGCCGACUCCCAGGGUGACACGCAGUGAAGGGAGGGUCUCAUUCAAAAAAAUUGUAGAAAAUAUUAACAGUAUUUUAAACAAAAUCUCUAUCAGGUAUUUCCAUUCUCUGUUACGUCCAGUUAAUGCAGACACAGGAGAAGGGGAGAGAUGGACGGAGCCCGGAGCACGGGAAGAGGGGAGCAAACGGAGGCUCCGCAGACCAGAGCAGAGCACCCUCCCCCACACGCGCGCGCCCGCACGCACGCCCGCGCACAUACGCACACGCACGAAGUGGAACAGAGGCCCAGAGGGAGGGACCCCAGCUUUAUAAAAUUAUUGUAGAACACGUGUCAUGUCAUUUUCCGAAUGACUUUUCAUCUCAGUUCUGCUAAAGCUGUGGUCAUCUCAAGAAAAAGUCCUGAUGACACAAGAGUAAAGGGUGUUUAGUCAGAUUUUCUAACUGCCUCUGAAAGGGAUGAGUGAAGCCAGCUGUGAAAGGUCUACUUUCUAGUUCCUUUCUGCAUUAUUUAUUUUUCAUGCCUGGCAUUGGGCGUCUAGACCAUUCCAUGUAUUCUUGUUUUUCUUUUUGUAGGCGGGAAGUAAUUAGGUAUUUUUUUUAAUGGAGGCACUGGGGAUUGAACCCAGGGCCUUGUGCGUGCUAAGCAUGGGCUCUACCACUGAGCCACACCCCCUCCCCCAUUCCAUAUAUUCUAAGUGGAACAAACUAAUACACAGGUGCUGAAUACCUGCUCAUUUCCAGCCAUCAGAGACCCCAGUUCACUACAGUUGAACAGACUGUUAACCACUACAUUAACUAAGUGCAUAAAAUGCUAAUAUCCUAAUAUGCACAUUUUGGGCAAGUGAUGUCAUAAUUUGUCAGCCUGCAAACAUUUUCCUUGGGAUAUGCUGGGCUCCCCUACCCCUCUCCCUUCCGGACUUCCUGUGCAAACAACACAAUAGCUGGAACCAACUGCAGGCCAACUGCUUCGGGUGUUAACUCUUGUCACGCUACCCGGAAUAGAGGUGUGGACUUGUUUACUUGGUUUCCCUGGGAACAGUCUGUCUUCCAAGGAAUACUGGGGAAGAGUUCCCGGCUGGAACACGAAGCUCUGAACGGCAGCUGGUCGACCUGGGGGAACGCGAGCUGACUGAGCUCGGGGAGGAAAUGCCUUCUUGGUUGCCGGGUGGCAGGGAGAGGAAGUGGCCCGGAUUGUGGGCUGUAAGAAAACAAUCCUUCCAGCGGGGCCCUCGGUGUCCUCCAGGAGGCCUGGGUCUUGCAGGGAUCUGUCACAGCAGUGGGCCGGGGAAGAGGGUGAUAGUGUGUGAAGACCGAGCCGGAAGGCUGUGUGUGUGGAUUGUCACCGCUGGCCCACCUGCCUCUGGGGGUGGAAGAAGCCCGCUGCAUCUUUGAUGUUUACGUCUCAAAAUUACCCGCAAACUGGAAGCAACCAGAGGCAAAAGGAAGAAACAGAUGAAACAAAGCAUGGUACAGCUGUACAGUGGAAAGUUGCUCAUAUUUUGAUGAGUGAAGGCAAAAAACUCACCAUAUGAUUCCACAAGUUUCCCUGGGAAUACACAUACUGCUUUUGAGAUGAGAAGAAUGAAAUACAGGCUGUCUAUAUGGAUGGUGUCUUUCUAAGCUGUGGUCAGUCUUCCAGCCAGGGCAGUCCUGGGCAGCUAACAGCAUACCUGAGCCUGAAGCGUUUUAAAAGAUGAAUCGAAAAGCAUCGAAGCCUUGAGCAGAUCACUGCCCUUGGAAAUUCUUCUGUUUCAGCCAGGCAUGCAGAGCAAUCUUACCUGGAAAGAAGCCAGCUUUCCUGCUUAAAAUUUCGAUCAAACCUUAGAGUUUAACAUUUGAAAUAAAAGGAUGCUUUACCAUGGACUUUUAAAAAUAUGUGAGACAAGUGAAUUACAUUUGGGAAACAGAGUUUUGGUCACUUGCCAGGAUACCAUCACAUUCCUUUCCCCAGGGGGGGCACCUGGUGUCUGUGAGAGGCGGCGCCACCCCCUGCCCACUUAACCGCGGAGAGUGGAGAGUGUGAAGUCAGCACUGGUCUCCCGUCUCACCCCUUUGCCUUCCCUGCCAGCCCUCCUUUCCUGGGUGCUUUCUGGGUCAUAGGCUGAAUGCACCCCAAAACGCAUCUGCCGUCACAGACUCAGCAAAGAACAAGUUAAGAAAUGCCAGCCGAGGCUGGAAACUUUGCCAGAUGCCCUUGUCGGGAGAAUCUGUCCUGCCUUGCCAAGCUUUUACCUUUUUUUUUUUUUUUACUACCAAAUGAAAAAGUGAUCUCUUUCAGACAUGGAAGAGACCUGGCAUGUCUCAACAGCUGACCAAGGUGGAAAGCACAAAUGCCAGGUGGGUAGGGCCACCAGAGAAUCAGAACAAAGUGCCACUGGGCCCCUUGGCCCAGCUGGAGUAUCUCAUUUACCCUGACACUUAGUAAUAUCAAAGGGGUCGUUCAGAUUUACCUCCUGUUUCUUGUACUGUUGUGGAGACAAGGUUGGGCUCUGCAGACUAAAGUCUUAGCCAAGCCUGUCACGUGCCUCCCAGUGUCUUUCCUGCAGUGACCCUCCCCUUAAUCUAUAGCCCCAGUCCUCUUGGGGUCACCAAGAGACCCCGUGCUUUUCUUGAGAUGAUGCCCGAUACUGCGCUAGGAUUGACGGAGAAGGUGUGGUCGGAGGGACCGGUUCUCGUGCCCCCAGCUCAGGUUAAUCCCGUCGGGGAAGAGGGAACAGGCCACAGAGGCUGUCAACGCCACAUCCUGACGUCAGGCAGAGGUGGCCACAAGGGACGGCAGCUUCAGACUCAGGCUCCUUAUGGGGAUUCCGCUGAGCCCCUCAAAGGGACCACAGUGUCCUGCCAGGACCAGGGAAUCCUCGGUCUCCACCCCUGAGGCACUUGAUGAGCGGCCUUCACACAGCACCAGUCAAGACUUCCAGCCACCAAGUGAGAGGUGACGACAGAUGCCUUGCAAGCUAGGGGCGCACUCAAGGUGUUUCAGAUACUCUCAUAACAUGACCUGAGAGAGAAUCUGUCUGCGGAAGAGAGCAGGUGUGCAGCUGAAGACAGGGGCACAGCAGGGUCUUUCCUGGAACACUGCUGUCCCACCAGCCCUGUCCUUUGUUCUGCUGGUUAUCCCCACACGAGUGCACGCACACACACGCCUUCCGUUCGAGGAAGGACCUUUGAUUCUCGGCACCCUUUCCUCCUGCUCGCUGGCUGGAGGUGGAAGAUGCAGCAUGAUAACAGCAAAGCUGUGUCCCCGACCAGGAGACGGGAGACCGCCUGCACCCACAUCCUGGUGGUUUUCCGGGAGCUGGCAGUUGCCAGUGAUCACGGAGGUGCCGUUCCCGCCCUGGACUUCACUCACAUGGGAAGGACGUAGGCUUCUAUCUUGUCAAGGCACUUUUAUGCUGUGGUUUUGAUCACUGGCAACCAAACCUGAUCCCAAUACAGGUCCCCACUUCCCCUUCCACAGCAUACUCAUCCCACGCCUCACGUAGCGCCGGAAACGUAGUGAGGGCUCCGUGCACACAUCUUAAAAGGACUGGAUCCUUCCACCUAACUUUGCAGCACGGUGCUCAGUACAGUUUCUUAUAGAUUUUGGCUACCUGCCCAAGGAAACGGAUUUAUUUUUAAUUGAAGUAUAGCUGAUUUACAAUGUUAUGUUAGUUUCUGGUGUACAGUGUAGUGAUUUGGUUAUAUAUAUACACACAGACACACACAUACACAUAUUCUUUUCCGCUAUAGGUUAUUAUAAGAGAUUGAAUAUAGAAAACUGAUUUAAAAACCAUCAAACCUACCAUAACUUAUGCAUCUAGACAAAUGUUGUUUCCUUCAAUUGAUUCACCCUGGGAAUCUGUUCAUGUAUCUUAAUGUCUACUUGAGACGUUUUCUUCUUUGUUUUAAUUGAAGUCUAGUCAGUUUAUAAUGUUGUGUCAGUUUCUGGUGCACAGCAUCAUGUUUCAGUCACACAUAUACUACAUAUAUUCCUUUUCAUAUUCCUUUUCAUU